rnacentral:rRNA from 1 species
UACGAAGGGGGCUAGCGUUGCUCGGAAUCACUGGGCGUAAAGCGCACGUAGGCGGAUCUUUAAGUCAGGGGUGAAAUCCCGGAGCUCAACUCCGGAACUGCCUUUGAUACUGGGGAUCUUGGAGUCCGGGAGAGGUGAGUGGAACUGCGAGUGUAGAGGUGAAAUUCGUAGAUAUUCGCAAGAACACCAGUGGCGAAGGCGGCUCACUGGCCCGAUACUGACACUGAGGCACGAAAGCGUGGGGAGCAAACAGG